GUCAGGGCUGAUGGGGGAAGCAAACUCAUCAGGAUGCUGAUGGUGGUGUCAAAUGCAGAAGAUGAGAGAGUAGGGUGAGGAUGAGGGGCAUAGCAGAUCUGCCAGAAGAGGAGUAUUAUUGGAGAGACGGGGUUUCACCAUAUUGGGCAGGCUGGUCUCGAACUCCUGACCUCAAGCGAUCCACCCGCCUUGACCUCUCGAAGUUCUGGGAUUACAACUGUGAACCACUGCACCCGGCCCAUAAGUUAUUUAAAUGAUGGAAAAAUUCUAUAAAGAGAAAAUUCCACCUCCUCUACUGUUAGUGGUGAAGCUCACAUAAGAAAGGUCAAAAGAACUCAAGAGCCAAUUUGAGGACAUUCUGAUUAGCUAAAGUAUGACAAUCUGAGCAUCAGUAAGAUCAUCAAUUACAAACCAUUUUGAAAAAUCGUAUUGCUAGUGAUAAUCUUGGUAUUGCUAUUCUGAGAUAGUUGAGUUUGCAUUGUGAAAUAAAGCAAAUAUGUAUUUAUUUGAUAAUCUGAUUCUGUCAUUCUUGGUGUAAAUAAGAAAGGGGAUUCGUGGCAUGGAAAAAAUGAAAUAAAGUUAUAAGUUGAACGUGUUAAAUAAAAUUAUAACACCUGAUAUGGCAUGAUUUCAAAAUGUCCACAAAAAUUCAUAUUAGCAUAUAUUUAUGUUCCUGAAUAUCAGUAUGCACUCAUGACUCAGUCUGUGCACUAAAAUUCCUAAAAACAAUCACUAAUCCAAGCGAAAUUAGCAACCCUAAUGCCCAGAUGGUCGUCUGUCAACACCACUUUUCACUUAAAGGAUGCAGUAAGCCUCCUCAGAAAAACAGUCGUUCCCCCAGAACGACAAACUGCCUUUAAGAGUCAUUUCUUUGUUAUCACAGGUGUCAAAAUUUUUCUGUAUUUUGUUUAUAAUUUUAUUUUUUAAAUAAAAAGUUUAUAAAAAUGGUUCUAAAAUGAAUAGCCUUAUGCGUGCUUUCGUCUUCUAAACACACUUUUACUAGUAUAUAUUUGGCAGAGAUAUCUAGAAAUAGGAGGAAGGCAGGGCCAAAAAGUAAGUACACAUGCACUAUGCUGGAUAUUGCCAUAUUCCCCUCCAUGUGGGUUCCAUUUUGCACUCCAAUCAGCACCACGUGGGAAUGCCUUUUUCUCAUAGCCUCAGUAAUUAUUUUGGUUUUUCAAAAAUCCAUUUUUUACCAGUCUAUCAGGUGAGGAAUUGUAUAUCAGUAAAAUCAUAGUGCACUUUUUUCUUAUAACAAGAAUGUUAUGCAUCUUUUCACAUGGCUAAAGGCAAUUUGCAUUUUUUUCAUGAAUUGACUACUGUUUUUACACCAUUUUUCUACAGUUUGUUCUUUUUCUUCUUUAUUUUUCAAGGUUCUUUAUUAAAUAUAGUAACCCUUUGAUAUAAGUCAUAAACAUUUUUUCCAGUUUAUUCUUUGAGUUUUUACUUUGUUUUAUGGUAUCUUUUGUCAUGAUAACUUUAAAAUAUGUAAUUAAUUUUUUCCUUAUUUUUUCUAUUCAAAUUUUACGUCUGAAUUUAGAAGAGCUUCUCUAUUCCUUCUCUAUGUAGAACUUCCAACAAUGUCUUCUUCUAAUACCUAUGUGGGGUCAUCUAUUUCUUCAAUCAAAUCUCUGAUGCAUUUAGAAUUUAUCAUAAUGUAUAGUUUGAGAAUGAAUUAAUUGAAUCUUUUUACUCAUAUCCCAACAUCACUUAUUCAAACUAUAUUCUUUUACUUACUAAUAUGAGAUGCUACUUUUUAUACAUUUUAAAGUUGCAUAUGAAAUGGAGUCUAUUUAUUGAAUUUCUCUUCUGAUCUAUCUAUGGGCAAUGCUAUUGUAAAAAAAGACUAUAUAAUGUUUUAAAUAUCUGGUAGGGCUCUUUUUUGCAGAGUUUUUGUGGCUAUGCCAGCUUUUAUUCUUUCAAAUGAACUUUGUAAUCAACACUGAUGGCACUUUUUAUUAGAAUUGUGUUAAGUUUGUAAUUUAACUUAAGUGGAGCUGAUAUGUUUGUGCUUUUGCGUCUUUUGACUUAAGAACACAGUAUGUGCCUGAACCAUUAAAUAAGAUAUUGGCUUUUGGGCUAAAAUACAAACACACACAUACAUGUACAUCAUGUUUAAAAAGUGUUUCUCAGUUCUUAUUCUGUUGCACUUUCUUAGACAUUAAUAAAUAUUAGAUUUUGUCAAAUACCUCUUCUGUCACCUAUUGAUAUAAUCAUAUGACUUUUAUCUAUUGUUGUAUUAAUAUGAAAGAUUACAUUAAAUAAUUACUAAUAUUAAAUCAUAUUUACUUUCCUGGAAUAAACCCCCCUUGGUCAAGAUGCAUUAUAUUUUUAAAAGUGUUGUUGGAUUCUAUUUGCUAACAUUUUAUCUAUGACUUUUGUCUCGAUAUUCAUAUAUGAGAUAAGUCUAAUGCUUCCUGUUUUGUAAGUACUGCACACUAACCAAUUGCACUACUGAAGCUCCUAAAAUUUUCUUAUUUAUUUAUUUGAAAUACAUUUUAUUCUUUUACAAAGUAUUUUUAAAAAAUAUUUUAUUUUAGAUUCAGGGUAUGUACGUGUAGGUUUGCUACAUGGGUUUAUUGGGCGAUGCUGGGGUUUGAGAUUUUAGUGAAUCCAUCACCUAUAUAGUGAACAUAAUACUCAGUAGGUAGUUUAUCAACUCCUCUCUCUUCCCUUCCACCUUUUGUAGCCUCCAGGGUCUAUUGUUUUCCUCUUUAUGCCCAUGGGUACCCACUGUUUAGCUUCCACUUAUAAGUGAGAACAUCUAGUAUUUGAUUUCCUGUUUCUGUAUUAAUUCAGUUAGAAUAAUGGCCUCCAGCUGCAUGCAUGUAGCUGCAAAGAACAUAAUUUUCUUCUUUUUUAUGGCUGUGUAGUAUUCCAUUGUGUCUAUAUACCACAUUUUCUUUAUCCAGUCCACCAUUAUUGGACACUUAGGUGAUUCCAUGACUUUACUAUUGUGUAUAGUGCUGCAAUAAACAUGAUUUCCUUGUUUAAAUGUAGUUUUUGGUGAUUUGGGAGUCAAUAUGACACUUGUUUCAGGAAAGGAAUUUGGAAAUUUCCUUUAAAAAAAUAUUCUCUGAAAAGAUAAAGUACUAUUGAAAUUAUUUGAUAGCUUAAGAUUUGGUAAAAUUCUCCUGUGAAAAUAUCUGAAUCUGGUACUUCUGUUGGCAAAUUAAAUAAAAACGGUAAAUAAAAUUAAUAAUAAAUAAACUUUAAAGAAACGGUAAUUGGAGUGUAUCUAUUUGAACCAAUGUUUAUAAGUUGUAUUUUCUAACAAUUUAUUCAUUUUUAAAGGUACUGAAUUUGUUUAUAGAGAAUUGAGCAUAGUAGUUUCCUAUUUUUCAAGUUCUUCUUUUGUAAUGACUAUUUCCAUGUUGUCAUUUCUAAUUUUGUAAAUUUACUUUCUACUUUUUUCUUAAGUAAGCCUGGCUUGUCUUUUUGUUGAUAUAAUAAAAGCAGCUUUGCAUUGAUUUAUUAUAUUUUAUGUUGUGCUUUAUAAACUUACUGAUUUCAGCUUUCAUCAUUGUUAAUUUUUACCUUAUGCUUUUUUUCUGCUUAUGUUGGUUUACUUUGCUGUUCUUUCUACAUUUUUUUGCUGUAAUAUUUGCAUUAUUUGUAUUUUUUUAUUACUAUCAUGCUAGUUUGUAUCUAAUAUUUUCUUUUCUGCCCAUCAUAUUGUAUUUUUAUUAUUAUUUUCAAUAAAGUGUGUAAGAAU
rnacentral:lncRNA from 1 species